rnacentral:rRNA from 1 species
CCUACGGGAGGCAGCAGUGAGGAAUUUUGCGCAAUGGCCGCAAGGCUGACGCAGCAACGCCGCGUGGGUGAUGAAGGCCUUCGGGUCGUAAAGCCCUGUCAGGUGGGAAGAAAGGCAUGGGGGCGAAGAGUCUUUGUGUUUGACGGUACCACCAGAGGAAGCACCGGCUAACUCCGUGCCAGCAGCCGCGGUAAU